ensembl:ncRNA asRNA:CR44049 antisense RNA:CR44049
AGUGUGUACCCUUUUAGUUUAUUAUUUAGUUUUUGACUCACGUGGGAGAGCUUCAGUUUGACACGUUUGGGCAGGCCCGUGGGAAAUGGUGCCGCAUUCUUGUUGCCUCGAUUGGAUUGCUGCUGGGACUUGGAGCUGCCGGCGCUACUGGGCGGUAGGUCGCUGUCCAGCGUGAGGGGAGCGCGGGCGAACUGAUUCUGGAACUGCAUCACACACUGGUAGGUGCAAAAGUUGCGCAUGGAAGCAUCCGACAUGGUCAAAUGAUACUGUGGCGUAUUGAAGUUGGAACAAUUGUCGCAUUUGGUAACCGCCCUGGCGGAGAUGUUGCAGCUAACGCCGUGCAUGGUCAGGCAGUUGAUGGAGCAGUUGUACUUCUUCACCUUGCACCACUGGCAGGAGACGAUGUGCCUGUUGACGAUGAUGUACACAUUUAUGCAGACCCGCGAGCAGAAGACCUUCGGUGACUGCUGUUCGUUGUAGAUGGUGUAGGACUCGGCGCUCCGCCGCUCAAAGUAUUUGGAGCACAUGGCACACGGAUCAGCGUUCACGUUGCUCACAAACUUAAAGGCGGAGAAGCAGGGAUUCGAGCAGAAGUAGUGCUCUCUGUCCUCCAGCAGCAUCUCCACCCUCACUGGCUUCUGGUUGUUGCACACACCGCAGACAUCGGUGCGUAGUUUUCGUCGGGGAUUGCACAUGCUUUCGUAGCGACGGAGGCAGGAUUGCGAACAGAAGUCCUUGAACUGAUCCUUGUCACCCACCGGGGCAAGGAAGCCCUCCUGCCCGCCGCUGAUGUCCUUCUGGCAGCAGGAGCACGUCUUCAGACCCUUCUUAAAGGUGUUAAGGCAGCCGGCGCAGCAGAACUGCCGCACAUCGAAACCGAAUCGCACGCAGUACUUGCCAAGCGCUAUGGAGCUCACCUCCUGCUUGCAGGUCUCGCAGGUGGAGCCAAUGGUGCGCUGAUAGCUGCCCAGGCACACCUCAUUGCAGAAGUCCAUGGUCUCCCACAUGAGCUGCUUCUCGUCCGUAUUGAUAUCCGCCUCGCAGUCGGCGCAGCGCCUUCGGAAGCUUUCGAUCCUGUCCAGGCGCGCCGUCUCUGCCUCCUCCACCGUCCUGGCCACCACGCUGCCGUCGGUCCGUUUGGUGGGCGAAUUUUGCGGUGGCUGCAGCGUUGUGGCGCCAAUGUUGCGCACUCGAAUCGAGUGCCGCUUCAGCUUGAAUUUAUCUGGCUCCUCAGCGUUGAGCAGAUUGAAGCAAUCGUCAUUGCAAAUGUAGAAGCAGUCCUGGUCCUGUUUAAUGAAAUAUUUGCACCGCGUCUUAUCCUUGCACUGCAGGCAAUCUUGCGUGUUGGCUGGAGUAGCUUCCUCCUCGGCAUCUCCGCCCUCGCCAUCGGCGCUAGCCUCCGCUUCGGCGGCGCCUUCUUCUCGAACCACUUCCUCGACCAGGAACUUCUUGCGGCGUACAAAGUACUUGCCGGGUUGAUCUUCUAGCAGGGCGUCGACACAGGCGGUAUCGCAGAUGUACUCGAACCCACUGGGAGCAGCAGGCUUUUGCCGAGCCUCCUCCUCCUCCCCCUCCUCAGCGUUCUCCUCUGCCUUAUCGUUUUCCUUCUCCUUAUCCAUUUCUUCUGACUCCUCUGGACUCCUGUACCGAAACCCACAAUUCUUUUCAUCGCCACACUGUUUGCACUUCUGAACGCUGCCAACGAUCCAACUAAUGAUGAUUUUCGGCGUGGAACCAGGUUCACCCGCUCCGGCACUGGAGGAUUCCUCGGCUGUGGGCUCGUCGGGAUCGGGAACAUCGCCACCGGCCUCCUCUUCGUUAGCUGCUGCAGCUACUCCAUCUGCUGGC